AUCUGUGUCUUGCAGAUUAAGUGUAUUUUCUCAUUGUUAAAGUUGAAGAUUGAGGGCUGUAUUUUGUCACCUGUUGCUUACCACAGAAAGAAAAGGGUGGGAGGGGGAGCAUAUAGGGAUCAUGCAAGGUUUUGCUCAGAACUUGCCGUUUGCCAUUUCAUUACCGUUUGGUACAAAAAAUAGCUGUUUUUUUCCCUCCGCUUUCAGGUGCCACAUAAAAUUAUACAAUAUGGUUGCUUCAGGCAGUGCCAGAGAAGCAUAAUGAGGUGUUUAGUCACAGUUUGGAUUUGGUAUUGGUAGAAAACAGUGCAGGAACUGUGGGCUAGAUUUUCAAGUAAUCCAAGGCUGCCUAAAUCCCAAACUGGUAUCCAGGCAAUACAGAGACACUAAAUUCUCUGUUUGAUUUUGUUAGGCUGUUAUGUGAUGAACAUUUUCCUUUUCUUGCAAGGUCUCAGUAUGGCUGGGGAUAUUGGUGGUGUGGUUUGUUGUUUUGUUUUGUUUUGUUUUUCUCCUUCUGUUAACCCUUGGAUUUCUGUUUGCUCCUUUUCUCGCAGAGCACCUUCGUAAAUAUGAAUGCAGUCCUGAGGCCUGGCUUAGAAAGUUAUUCCAUGGUCAGUGGAAAAAAAUGAGGAAGAGGAGGGUGUGGCUGCUGCUCAGAGUAUCUGGCCCUGCAAACGGGCACUAACUUAUGAAGACGCGGUCCUUCGUCGUGACAAAGUGAGGCUUCUUCCAGAAACGAUUCCUUUCAGAGCACAAUGCUCUGAGUUUCGGCCUUGCUGGUGCUGCUGCUUCUACUUCGGAAUCCCAAAGCUGUAUCCCCACCACUGCAGCUGCUGGUAUUGGAGUGAGUUUAAACUUCU